rnacentral:rRNA from 1 species
GUCUUUUUGAGUUAUUUUUAAAGUCUGACCUGCCCACUGAAUUUUUUUGAAUGGCCGCAGUAUUCUAACUGUGCAAAGGUAGCAUAAUCAUUAGUCUUUUAAUUGAAGGCUGGUAUGAACGGUUGGACGAGGUAUAAGCUGUUUCAUAUAAAUUUACAGUAGAAUUUUAUAUUUUAGUCAAAAAGCUAAAAUGUAGUUAAAAGACGAGAAGACCCUAUAAAUCUUUAUAUUUUAUAUGAUUUAGAUUUUUUUGAUUUGUUUUAUUUUUAUUGUAUUAGAUAUUUUGUUGGGGUGAUGUUAAAAUUUGAUGAACUUUUAAUUUUUUUAAGUCAUUAAUUUAUGAGUUAUUGAUCCAUUAGUAGUGAUUAUAAGAUUAAGUUACUUUAGGGAUAACAGCGUAAUUUUUUUGGAGAGUUCUUAUCGAUAAAAAAGUUUGCGACCUCGAUGUUGGAUUAAGAUAUAGGUUUAGGUGUAGCCGCUUAAAUGUUAAGUCUGUUCGACUUUUAAAUUCUU